AACGAACGCUGGCGGCAUGCCUAACACAUGCAAGUCGAACGAGACCUUCGGGUCUAGUGGCGCACGGGUGCGUAACGCGUGGGAACCUGCCCUUAGGUUCGGAAUAACUCCCCGAAAGGGGUGCUAAUACCGGAUAAUGUCUUCGGACCAAAGAUUUAUCGCCUUUGGAUGGGCCCGCGUUGGAUUAGCUAGUUGGUAGGGUAAAAGCCUACCAAGGCGACGAUCCAUAGCUGGUCUGAGAGGAUGAUCAGCCACACUGGGACUGAGACACGGCCCAGACUCCUACGGGAGGCAGCAGUGGGGAAUAUUGGACAAUGGGCGAAAGACUGAUCCAGCAAUGCCGCGUGAGUGAUGAAGGCCUUAGGGUUGUAAAGCUAUUUUACCCGGGAUGAUAAUGACAGUACCGGGAGAAUAAGCGCCGGCUAACUCCGUG
rnacentral:rRNA from 1 species